CGGCACACAGUCAAGACGUCAGAAGUUGUGAGCAGGCAUAGCAUGCAACAAACACUAGCGUGCAAAGUUAUGUGAGGUUUGUUGGGUCAGCGCACCGUUUGUGAAAAUGAUCUCCUUGCCCUCCUUGCGGAGCUGCUCAGCGCGCAGGUAAAGCUCGCCACGGACGGCAUACUGAGUCUUCACCACGUUCUCGUUCAGAAGGUGAGGGUGCAGCACCUUGCCCUCCUUGGCAUGCAGGUCCUCGUCCUUCUUCUCAUCAGGCUGGGGCAUCGCCGACUUGAGGCGAGUGCCACCAACAGCCCACGACGUAGACACGCCAUUGUUGCCCGCCCGCAG
rnacentral:lncRNA from 1 species